ACGGCUGUCACAGGGUUCUGCCGCCGACGUCAGUGGCCCGCGGCUUACUGUCUGUGCUCUUCUCUCUCCCCGCAGCCCGAGUCCGAAGUGUUUGAGAUCACAGACUUCACCACAGCCUCGGAGUGGGAAAGGUGAGUAGCGCGUUUGGACUUGUCUAACCCUGGGCGGCAUCACACAGGUGACGCAGGUUCUGAGGGAGACGCCCACGCUUCGUCUCUUCUUCAGAGAGCCCUGGCAGCCUUGGCUUUUUCCGCAUCGAUCAUACAGACAGGUCAGACCAACCUUCAGACUCCGCCUUUAAAACAAGUUGUGUUAACUUCCAGAUCACUUCCCUAAACAGAAAACCAUUUCCGAGGUCGCUCCUGUGCCUUCUGCAUUCAUGUCAGUUUGCCUCAGUUGUCAUUAAAGCCUUCAGCUAAGCAGCUGCUGUGUUUUCUGUUUAUUGGAAGAGACUUUUAGCAUACGGAUGGCUGUUCAUCUGCCAUCCUACCAUCCUCAUUUUAUCCCAUCUUCCAGAAAUUAAAAAAUUAAAAUUCUUUUUCUCUAUUUCCUUUCCGUCCUUUCCCCUUUAUCACUCCUCCCCCCCCCCCCGUCAUAUUUCCUAAUAGUAUGUUUACAUACGUCUU
rnacentral:lncRNA from 1 species